UUGGGAAGUCCUCGUGUUGCAUUCCC
rnacentral:rRNA from 2 species